AUUGAACGCUGGCGGAAUGCUUAACCCAGGCAAGUCGAACGGCAGCACGGGGGCUGGCACCUGGUGCGGAGGGGCGAACGGGUGGGUAAUACACCGGAACGUACCUUAUCUGGGGGGAUACGCCAGCGAAACCGUGGCUAUACCCGCUUCGCCCUGGGGGGGGAAGGGGGGGGACGGAAGGACCCCGGGCGAUUAGGGCGCCGGAUGCCUGAUUAGCUUGUUGGUGGGGUAAAAGCCCACCAAGGCGACGAUCAGUAGCUGGUCUGAGAGGACGAUCAGCCACACUGGGACUGAGACACGGCCCAGACUCCUACGGGAGGCAGCAGUGGGGAAUUUUGGACAAUGGGGGCAACCCUGAUCCAGCAAUGCCGCGUGAGUGAAGAAGGCCUUCGGGUUGUAAAGCUCUUUUGUCAGGGAAGAAACACCGGCUCUAACACAGUCCGGGAAUGACGGUACCUGAAGAAUAAGCACCGGCUAACUACGUGCCAGCCGCCGCCGUAA
rnacentral:rRNA from 1 species